GACGAACCGUGCGAACGUUGUUCGGAUUCAUUGGGCGUAAAGGGUGCGUAGGCGGCGCGGUAAGUCGGGUGUGAAAUCUCGGAGCUUAACUCCGAAACUGCAUUCGAUACUGCGGUGCUUGAGGACUGGAGAGGAGACUGGAAUUCAUGGUGUAGCAGUGAAAUGCGUAGAGAUCAUGAGGAAGACCAGUGGCGAAGGCGGGUCUCUGGACAGUUCCUGACACUGAGGCACGAAGGCCAGGGGAGCAAACGGG
rnacentral:rRNA from 1 species